GUUUGAUCCUGGCUCAGAACGAACGUUAGCGGCGCGCUUAACACAUGCAAGUCGUGCGAGAAAGGGAGCAAUCCCCGGUAAAGCGGCGCACGGGUGAGUAACACGUAGGUAACGUGCCCCAGGUGGUGGAUAACCUUCCGAAAGGAGGGCUAAUACAGCAUAAGACCACGACUCCGAAAGGGGUUGAGGUCAAAGUCGGCCUCUAUUCAUAAGCUGACGCCAGGGGAUCGGCCUGCGGCCCAUCAGGUAGUUGGUAGGGUAACGGCCUACCAAGCCAAAGACGGGUAGCUGGUCUGAGAGGAUGAUCAGCCACACUGGAACUGAGACACGGUCCAGACUCCUACGGGAGGCAGCAGUGGGGAAUCUUGCGCAAUGGGCGAAAGCCUGACGCAGCGACGCCGCGUGGGUGAUGAAGGCCUCGGUGUAAGACC
rnacentral:rRNA from 1 species